AAACUUACCUAGCAGGCGAGAUACCAUGAUCAAGAAGGUGGUUCACCCAGGGCAAGGCUUGACCAUUGCACUCUGGUAGUGCGAACCCCUGCGAAUUCCCCUAUUGUGGGAAUCUCGACUGCCUAAUUUUUGGUAGUGGUGGAUUGCGUUUGCGCUACCCUGUU